UUUAAUGGACCCUCAGAGCUUUGCUUCUAUUUUCUGAGAACCUUUUCUUUUGGAUCCAUUGCAGGGGAAGCCCGGAGCACGAGGUUUACCUGGGCCAAGAGGACAGCCUGGCCAAGAGGGAGAUGAAGGACCCAUAGGGCCACCAGGGUUCCCUGGUCCAGAGGGUCGACCUGGCAGGAAGGGAUUUCCUGGAAAACCUGGCCCUGAUGGUUCAAAG
rnacentral:lncRNA from 1 species